GCCAUAUCAAGUUGAAACACCGAUUCUCGAACGAUCAAAGAAGUUAAGCGACGUCGAGCAUAGUCAGUAUCUAGAUGGGUGUCCGCUUGGGAAUACCAAAUGUUGUAA